AAUCAACGCUGGCGGCGUGCCUCAGACAUGCAAGUCGAACGCGAAAGUCCCCUUCGGGGGGACAAGUAGAGUGGCGCACGGGUGAGUAACACGUAGGUAAUCUACCUUCGGAUGGGGAAUAACAACCGGAAACGGUUGCUAAUACCGCAUAAUGCAGCGGCACCUAAUGGUGACAGUUGUUAAAGCGGGGGAUUGAAAGACCUCGCGUCUGAAGAGGAGCCAGCGGCGGAUUAGCUUGUUGGAGGGUAACGGCCUACCAAGGCGACGAUCCGUAGCCGGCCUGAGAGGGCGGUCGGGCCACACUGACACUGACAUACGGGUCAGACUCCUACGGGAGGCAGCAGUCGGGAAUUUUGGGCAAUGGGCGAAAGCCUGACCCAGCAACGCCGCGUGAAGGAUAG
rnacentral:rRNA from 1 species